UACUGAAAUCAAUGAGAUUUUGGUGUUAUAUUUCAACAAGAGAUGUCUACGCUGGCUGGUCACUAGGAAAUGGAGCACUGAUUGGGACAGUGGAGCAAAUGCAAAGUGGCGUGUCACUUGGAAGGCCUCACACAACUGGAUGUGAUCAUGUGGCAAUGGCAGACUUGUGAUCCGCGUGGAAGGAACGCAAACUGCAAAUGGCGCCAAGCCUAACCUCCUGGGCAUCUCCCCUUGCCUCUCCUCGGCUCUCCUGCGCAAAGAAGCAAAACCAUCGACUCUGCAGUGUCAGGUGCGGCUCCGGCUCACGGGGAAGUGGCGGUAAUGACAAUGGCACACCACCGGUCGUCAGGGCGGCGGUCAGCGCCAUCACGGAACUGCUCAGGGCCCUUUCUCCCAGCAAGAAGCCAAGGCAAGCUGCAGAAUCCGACGAUACAGAGUUGGAGUUGCCUCGCAGCGUGGAGGAUGUGGUUGCCGUUCUUGAAGCUGAUUACCAGCGUGCUUAUUUCCUCACCGGGAACUUCAGUUUAGGCAUAUAUGCUGAGGAUUGUUUAUUUGAAGAUCCCACCAUAAAGUUCCGUGGAAGGUCUAGAUACUCUCAGAAUCUUGAUUUGCUAGUGCCCUUCUUUGACAGCCCUUCGCUCGAACUUGAAAACAUAGAAAAGGGUUUGAGGGUCGACACGAAGUUUGUCAUAGCAACAUGGACGCUAAGGACAUAUUUGAGGCUCCCAUGGAGGCCCCUCAUAGCCAUCAGAGGGAACACAACCUACGAUUUAGAUGAACAGUACAAGGUCGUUCGGCAUGCAGAGAGCUGGGACGUCUCUGCCCUGGAGGCGAUCGGUCAGUUAUUCGUCUCGACUCCGAAGCAGACGGGCAGCUGAGCUCUCGAGUGAGGUUGCCACUGGUCAAUCAACGAUAUCGCGAAGCUCACACGUCAAUUCGGCAGUUCGAACCGUGAAAGGAAAGCCAGAGGACGUGCCCCCGUCGCGGCAUUCAGCAGCUGGAGGCGGACGAGCGGCAAUCGGGCGUAUGGUCGUUGCCGCGUAGGAUUCCUAUAUGGGAAAGGGUGCGUAUGCAUCAGUUUUUUAGUCCCAUACUGCUUUGGUAUGGUUGGAUGAAGCGGUUCAAAUAGACGCCAAUCCGUGAGUUGAUCGCCGGCGGGCGCAUUGUAGGGGCUGAGUUUCAUAACGUGUAGAAUGUGCGUCUUGAACCCGGUGGAAGUCACGCGCUGCUGGCGUGCCAGGCAGCAACGACACCCGUUGUCUAAGGGUGGAACUGGCUCGGUCCCCAUCCCCGGCCACCAUAACAAUCUUUUUGUCUCUCAA